rnacentral:sRNA from 1 species
AAAAAUUAAAGCAUGGGGAUAAAGUAUAAAUAACCAAAUUGGAAAUAUUAACUUUUGGCAAAGUUGGAAAACCAAACAGGUAUCUUCUCCAACUGAUCAAGAGUACUGUCUUCUUUCAACACGUAGAUGAGUCUCUGUCAAGCAAGCAGACAUCAGCCAAAUGUGAAUGAUCUCUUGGUUCAUGGAAUGCCUCUACAGCCAAGAAAUCUCUCCCUAAUGGACAAGCUCCUAGAUCUUGAUGACAAGCUACUUAUGAGGCCUGGGUCCAGUACCAUCCUUUCAACUCGAAAUUGGCCAAAUCGAGCUGUGGAGUUUAGUACAUCAUCUCUGUCAUACACAGUGCAGUCCACCAGGAGACGCAAUCCACCACCACGAACUCUUCAUCCGAUCAGCACGAGCCAUUCAUGUGCUGAAACACCAAGAUCUGUGGAAGAAAUCCUCAGAGGAGCCCGAGUCCCAGUGGCACCCAACUCGCUCUCCUCUCCCUCACCGAUGCCCCUGAGUCGAAAUAAUCUGCUACCACCUAUUGGCACAGCUGAAGUGGAACAUGUGAGCACUGUGGGGCCACAAAGACAGAUGAAACCCCAUGGCGACUCUAGUCGAGCUCAAAGUGCGGUGGUGGAUGAACCUAACUAUCAGCAGCCACAAGAAAGGCUCCUUUUGCCUGACUUUUUCCCCAGGCCCAACACAACUCAA